GACGAACGCUGGCGGCGUGCUUAACACAUGCAAGUCGAACGGAAAGGCCCUGCUUUUGUGGGGUGCUCGAGUGGCGAACGGGUGAGUAACACGUGAGUAACCUGCCCUUGACUUUGGGAUAACGUCAGGAAACUGGGGCUAAUACCGGAUAGGAGCUCCUGCUGCAUGGUGGGGGUUGGAAAGUUUGGGCGGUUGGGGAUGGACUCGCGGCUUAUCAGCUUGUUGGUGGGGUAGUGGCUUACCAAGGCUUUGACGGGUAGCCGGCCUGAGAGGGUGACCGGCAACAUUGGGACUGAGAUACGGCCCAGACUCCUACGGGAGGCAGCAGUGGGGAAUAUUGCACAAUGGGCGGAAGCCUGAUGCAGCAACGCCGCGUGCGGGAUGAAGGCCUUCGGGUUGUAAACCGCUUUCGCCUGUGACGAAGCGUGAGUGACGGUAAUGGGUAAAGAAGCACCGGCUAACUACGUG
rnacentral:rRNA from 1 species